AGUGAACGCUGGCGGUAGGCCUAACACAUGCAAGUCGAACGGCAGCACAGUAAGAGCUUGCUCUUACGGGUGGCGAGUGGCGGACGGGUGAGGAAUACAUCGGAAUCUACUUUUUCGUGGGGGAGAACGUAGGGAAACUUACGCUAAUACCGCAUACGACCUACGGGUGAAAGCAGGGGAUCUUCGGACCUUGCGCGAUUGAAUGAGCCGAUGUCGGAUUAGCUAGUUGGCGGGGUAAAGGCCCACCAAGGCGACGAUCCGUAGCUGGUCUGAGAGGAUGAUCAGCCACACUGGAACUGAGACACGGUCCAGACUCCUACGGGAGGCAGCAGUGGGGAAUAUUGGACAAUGGGCGCAAGCCUGAUCCAGCCAUACCGCGUGGGUGAAGAAGGCCUUCGGGUUGUAAAGCCCUUUUGUUGGGAAAGAAAAGCAGCAGGUUAAUACCACGCUGUUCUGACGGUACCCAAAGAAUAAGCACCGGCUAACUUCGUG
rnacentral:rRNA from 1 species